rnacentral:misc_RNA from 1 species
AUAGAAAACAACGUACCAUCGUUACCUCUCUUGCCAGUCAUCCCGCGGAACAUCUUUUCAUUUCGCUGUUAUACCCACUCAUAUAGGCGUAAGUUUUAGUGACAACAACGUCAAUUUCGCACAUCUAGACACUGUAUCUAGCACAACGAUGAACAUACCGGAUUGAUCAACACGUACCAACCGAGACUUCUGAGUACAAGGAUUUCACGUCUUCAAAUCUAUCGGAAAGUGAGCAAAACAAUUCCAAUUCUGUAACAUCUUACUCACACGCUAUAAAACUUGAUUCUUCAGCAGUCAAGGAGCAAGCCAUAAUUAUCUACGCAGUCGACGAGAUGAGGGGACAUCGAGGCUUUUUUUGGAAUUUUUGGGAAAAUCCCCAAUACUUUAGUCUAGACUAUUUAUUAUAGCUAUACUUAAACGGUAAGACUAGAAAUAGUUGUUAUGAUUUAAUCCGAUUAUGUUUGCCCGAGAUUUGUGACGGUGGGCUUGGGCUCGAGGUGACACAACUGGCCGCCAAACGUAGCUACGGCCACGGAAUGAACGUUUUUACCUAACAGAGAAGUGCCAAUAUUGUGGGACACGUUGUAGUAACAAUCAAACCCCGGGCAGGAGCAAUGUCACUCUACGCGGGUCUGUCUAGCAACGGUGGCUAGAAUUUUGUUGGUAUCCCCGGCCAAUAUACAACGAACAAACGCGAUCGUAAGGAAAGGAAAAUUCCCAUCAGUCUUUUAUUC